rnacentral:rRNA from 1 species
ACGAACGCUGGCGGCGUGGAUAAGACAUGCAAGUCGAACGGGAUUUUGGGUGUAGCAAUACAUUCAAAGUUCAGUGGCGUAAGGGUGCGUAACACGUGAACAAUCUGCCGAAGAGUGAAGGAUAGCUCGCCGAAAGGCGAAUUAAUACUGCAUAUGACUAAAGCGGGCAUCUGCUGACGUCAAAGCUGGGGCAACCUGGCGCUCUUUGAUGAGUUCGCGGCCUAUCAGCUAGUUGGUGGGGUAAAAGCCCACCAAGGCUAUGACGGGUAGCUGGUCUGAGAGGACGACCAGCCACACUGGAACUGAUACACGGUCCAGACACCUACGGGUGGCAGCAGUCGAGAAUUUUUCUCAAUGGGCGAAAGCCUGAAGGAGCGACGCCGCGUGGAGGAUGAAGGUCUUCGGAUUGUAAACUCCUGUCAUUGGCGAACAAAGCUUGCGGUUAACUGCCGUGGAGCGUGCUAGUAGCCAAAGAGGAAGGGACGGCUAACCCUGUGCCAGCAGCCGCGGUAAUACAGAGGUCCCGAGCGUUGUUCGGAAUUAUUGGGCGUAAAGGGUGCGUAGGCGGUACGGUAAGUUAGAUGUGAAAUGUCGGAGCUUAACGCCGAAACUGCAUUUAAGACUGCGUGCUUGAACACUAGAGAGGAGAUCUGGAAUUCAUGGUGUAGCAGUGAAAUGCGUAGAUAUCAGUAAGGAAGACCAGUGGCGAAGGCGGGUCCCUGGACAGUUCCUGACACUGAGGCACGAAGGCCAGGGGAGCAAACGGGAUUAGAUACCCCGGUAGUCCUGGCAGUAAACGGUGCACGUUUGGUGUGGGAGGAUUCGACCCCUUCCGCGCCGGAGUUAACACGUUAAACGUGCCGCCUGGGGAGUACGGUCGCAAGAUUAAAACUCAAAGAAAUUGACGGGGGCCCGCACAAGCGGUGGAGUAUAUGGCUUAAUUCGAUGCAACGCGAAGAACCUUACCUGGCCUUGACAUGCAUUUCUAAGUAGGUGAAAGCCUAUGACUCCCGAAAGGGAGAAUUUGCACAGGUGCUGCAUGGCUGUCGUCAGCUCGUGUCGUGAGAUGUUGGGUUAAGUCCCGCAACGAGCGCAACCCCUGUGAACUGUUGCUACGUCCUUGAUUGGACAGCACUCUGUUCAGACUGCCCUGUGAAACGGGGAGGAAGGUGGGGACGACGUCAAGUCAGUAUGGCCCUUACGGCCAGGGCUGCACACGUACUACAAUGCCCAGUACAGAACGAUCCGAGACCGCGAGGUGGAGGAAAUCCAGUAAAACUGGGCUCAGUUCGGAUUGAAGUCUGCAACCCGACUUCAUGAAGCCGGAAUCGCUAGUAAUGGCGUAUCAGCUACGACGCCGUGAAUACGUUCCCGGGCCUUGUACACACCGCCCGUCACAUCAUGGAAGUUGCUUGUAGCCGAAGCCGGCGCACUAACCCGCAAGGGAGGUAACCGCCUACGCUAUGAGCAGUAACUGGGAUG